rnacentral:rRNA from 1 species
UUCCGGUUGAUCCCGCCGGACCUGACUGCUAUCGGAUUGAUACUAAGCCAUGCGAGUCUUUGUAGUAAUACAAGGCAUACGGCUCAGUAACGCGUAGUCAACCUACCCUAUGGACAAGAAUAAUCUCGGGAAACUGAGCAUAAUUCUUGAUAGAUCAUAAUGCCUGGAAUGGUUUAUGGUUAAAAUGAUUCGUCGCCAUAGGAUGGGACUGCGGCCUAUCAGCUUGUUGGUGAGGUAAUGGCCCACCAAGGCGAUAACAGGUACGGGCUCUGAGAGGAGAAGCCCGGAGAUGGGUACUGAGACAAGGACCCAGGCCCUAUGGGGCGCAGCAGGCGAGAAAACUUUGCAAUGUGCGAAAGCACGACAAGGUUAGUCCGAGUGAUUUCUGCUAAAGAGAUCUUUUGCUAGUUAUAAAACCACUAGUGAAUAAGGGGUGGGCAAGUUCUGGUGUCAGCCGCCGCGGUAAAACCAGCACCUCAAGUGGUCAGGAUGAUUAUUGGGCCUAAAGCAUCCGUAGCCGGCUCUGUAAGUUUUCGGUUAAAUCUAUGCGCUCAACGUAUGGGCUGCCGAAAAUACUGCAGAGAUAGGGAGUGGGAGAGGUAGACGGUACUCGGUAGGAAGGGGUAAAAUCCUUUGAUCUAUCGAUGACCACCUGUGGCGAAGGCGGUCUACCAGAACACGUUCGACGGUGAGGGAUGAAAGCUGGGGGAGCAAACCGGAUUAGAUACCCGGGUAGUCCCAGCCGUAGACGAUGCAGACUCGAUGAUGCAUUGGCAUAUAGCCAGUGCAGUGUCGCAGGGAAGCCGUUAAGUCUGCCGCCUGGGAAGUACGUACGCAAGUAUGAAACUUAAAGGAAUUGGCGGGGGAGCACCACAAGGGGUGAAGCCUGCGGUUCAAUUGGAAUCAACGCCGGA